GUGAGGAAUAUUGGUCAAUGGGCGGGAGCCUGAACCAGCCAAGUCGCGUGAAGGAAGAAGGAUCUAUGGUUCGUAAACUUCUUUUGCAGGGGAAUAAAGUGCAGGACGUGUCCUGUUUUGUAUGUACCCUGAGAAUAAGGAUCGGCUAACUCCGUGCCAGCAGCCGCGGUAAUACGGAGGAUCCGAGCGUUAUCCGGAUUUAUUGGGUUUAAAGGGUGCGUAGGUGGUUUGAUAAGUCAGCGGUGAAAGUUUGCAGCUUAACUGUAAAAAUGCCGUUGAAACUGUCGGACUUGAGUGUAAAUGAGGUAGGCAGAAUGCGUGGUGUAGCGGUGAAAUGCAUAGAUAUCACGCAGAACUCCGAUUGCGAAGGCAGCUUACUAAGCUACAACUGACACUGAAGCACGAAAGCGUGGGGAUCAAACAGGAUUAGAAACCCUUGUAGUCC
rnacentral:rRNA from 1 species